rnacentral:misc_RNA from 1 species
GUGAAUCAUCGAAUUUUUGAACGCAAAUUGCACUCUCUUCGGUGAGUAUGCGUGUUUGAGGGUCAGCAUAAAAAAAAUCGACAUAGUCGCUGUUUUGCGGUGACAUUCGUCGGAAAUUGGGUCAUCUUAAACCUUUGGGUUUUAAGCGGCUUAAAAUUUUUUUUACGAUUCGACGAACGUUUCUCAGAUUUUCUCCUUACACGUUUAAAG